rnacentral:rRNA from 1 species
UACGAAGGGGGCUAGCGUUGUUCGGAGUUACUGGGCGGAAAGGGCGCGUAGGCGGCGCACCAAGUCAGGCGUGAAAGCCCUGGGCUCAACCCGGGAAUUGCGCUUGAGACUGGUGUGCUUGAGUACGGGAGAGGAUAGUGGAAUUCCCAGUGUAGAGGUGAAAUUCGUAGAUAUUGGGAAGAACACCGGUGGCGAAGGCGGCUAUCUGGACCGUAACUGACGCUGAGGCGCGAAAGCGUGGGGAGCAAACAGG